UGGAGGAAACUCUGACCGAGCAACGCCGCGUGAACGAUGAAGUAUUUCGGUACGUAAAGUUCUUUUAUUAGGGAAGAAUAAAUGAUGGAAAAAUCAUUCUGACGGUACCUAAUGAAUAAGCCCCGGCUAACUAUGUGCCAGCAGCCGCGGUAAUACAUAGGGGGCAAGCGUUAUCCGGAAUUAUUGGGCGUAAAGGGUGCGUAGGCGGUUAAAUAAGUUUAUGGUCUAAGUGCAAUGCUUAACAUUGUGAUGCUAUAAAAACUGUUUAGCUAGAGUAAGAUAGAGGCAAGUGGAAUUCCAUGUGUAGUGGUAAAAUGCGUAAAUAUAUGGAGGAACACCAGUAGCGAAGGCGGCUUGCUGGGUCUUUACUGACGCUGAGGCACGAAAGCGUGGGGAGCAAACAGGAUUAGAUACCCUGGUAGUCCACGCCGUAAACGAUGAGUACUAAAUGUUGGGUAAAACCAGUGUUGAAGUUAACACAUUAAGUACUCCGCCUGAGUAGUACGUACGCAAGUAUGAAACUUAAAGGAAUUGACGGGACUCCGCACAAGCGGUGGAUCAUGUUGUUUAAUUCGAAGGUACCCGAAAAACCUCACCAGGUCUUGACAUGCUUCUGCAAAGCUGUAGAAACACAGUGGAGGUUAUCAGUUGCACAGGUGGUGCAUGGUUGUCGUCAGCUCGUGUCGUGAGAUGUUGGGUUAAGUCCCGCAACGAGCGCAACCCUUAUUGUUAGUUGCCAGCACGUAAUGGUGGGGACUUUAGCAAGACUGCCAGUGAUAAAUUGGAGGAAGGUGGGGACGACGUCAAAUCAUCAUGCCCCUUAUGACCUGGGCUACAAACGUGAUACAAUGGCUGUUACAAAGGGUAGCUGAAACGCAAGUUUUUGGCGAAUCUCAAAAAAACAGUCUCAGUUCGGAUUGAAGUCUGCAACUCGACUUCAUGAAGUUGGAAUCGCUAGUAAUCGCGAAUCAGCAUGUCGCGGUGAAUACGUUCUCGGGGUUUGUACACACCGCCCGUCAAACCACGAAAGUUGGCAAUACCCAAAGCCGGUGGCUUAACUUCGCAAGAAGAGGGAACCGUCUAAGGUAGGGUCGAUGAUUGGGGUUAAGUCGUAACAAGGUAUCCCUACCGGAAGGUGGGGAUGGAUCACCUCCUUUCUAAGGA
rnacentral:rRNA from 1 species